CUUUGGUUCCGCCCGGAUGUUUCCGUCCAGACCGAAGAACGGAAACACCGGACAUCCGGCAGAUUUGCGGAGGCUGUAAUCAGCCGAUUGGGCACAGCUGUGCCUAGUUAAAAGAGAUCGCCAGGCAAUUGGAUAACUGAAGCACAGAAAGGAGUAUUUAAAGCACAGUUAAAUGACAGUUCAGCAGUUCGGGCACGAGAGGGGGAUUGACACGGGGAGAGCUCCUCUGCUUAGGGCAGGAGAGGUAAAUACGUACCUUUUGAAGAGCCCGCAGGCUCUGUUGAUCCGGGCUGCGCUUGAAGCGCGCGGAAAGAAGACAGGAGCUGCCUGGGGUGAAAGAAAGGCGAUACGUGAGUGGAGAAAAGGAGCACCCCGAAGAGAGCAUUGUGCUGUCAAGCUUGUGCUUAGUGUGUGCUGGGAAACGGAGCUGUGCUCAUUUUUGGACGUAGUGGCUGUCUGUGUUUUUCUCUCUCUCUCUCGUUUCAGUCUGUAUUGUGGACCUGCUGGAGUCAAUAGAAAAGCCCUAUGGGUAAGAAGGAACUUUGUUCUAACCAACAUUGAAGGAGUAAAGCAGGAAGAGAUAUUGACCGUUGGUACAACGUAAAUAAAGGCUAUCCGCCGUGAGUAUACCCUUUCUGUGUGGAAUAACUGGCAAAAAUUAACUUGUGUAGCCAUUGGAAACCUCCAGGAAAAGGAGGGCGGCCCUACCCCUACAAGAGUGUGGUGGGCGAGCCGUUAGAAGUACACAUUCAAACAGCCGCCGCAACGAGACUUAUUGUGGUCGUAUUUCACAUCGCCUUAUCGUAGCCCAAGCGCAGUGGAGGACACCGGGCGCUUCCCUUGUUGUGGUGCACUUAUAGUGUGGUGAGUGAGACUGUGUAAUAAAUCUUUUUCACGUUUGGAGUGGUGCUGUGUAUUGCUGUGGGUUGCUGUGUGUCUUGUAGACGAAGCCCCGCAUCAUCCAUUUUCUUCCACUGGGCAGAGGACGGAGAGGCCAACGACUACAGAAAUCACUGUUAUUAUACGUAGUGUGCUGUUUGGAGUACGAAGGGACGCAGACUAAGAGCCGUCCGUGACCGUGAGUAAACCAAUGGAAACAUUCGUGGUGUGAACUUACCUGUGUCUGUUGUGUCGCAGAGUCAGAGGCGAAAGGGUCCGCCGCCCCGUGGUCUCUACGAAAAGGGCGCCCCCGUCGAGGAAUCGAUCGGCCUAUGAGCAUUGGAGAUAGGGCAGCGCUCGACCGGGUGAGGUGGUGUGUGACCUUCGCCCCUCUGCUGACCUACGGAGGAGAACGUGAUACCUACCCAGAAAGUUGUAAACAGCAAAGCCGGUGAGAAAUACUCGAAGUCUCAGUAACAGUGUCUUUGUGUCCUGGCGGCCACCUGUGGAGAGAGAGCAGAACGAAAGUGAACCAUUGAAGAGCAGACUGUGAACGUGAUACCUACCUGAAAAGCUGUAAACAGCAGAGCCGCGGCCACCUGUGGAGAGAGAGCAGAACGAAAGUGAAACAUUGAAGAGCAGACUGUGAACGUGAUACCUACCCAGAAAGCUGUAAACAGCAGAGCCGGUGAGAAAUACUCGAAGCCUCAGUAACAGUGUCUUUGUGUCCUAGCGGCCACCUGUGGAGAGAGAGCAGAACGAAAGUGAAACAUUGAAGAGCAGACUGUGAACGUGAUACCUACCCAGAAAGCUGUAAACAGCAGAGCCGUGGCCUCCUGUGGAGAGAACGGAAAACGAGAAGGAACAUGAGGAAAAUGGACUGUGUGAAGAUACAGUGGUGGUGGAGGAGAGCCUAGAGUGGCCAUUGUUUUAAGUCCCCCGUUCCCCUUCCUUAUUUAAUGCUUUUAAGUAAUUUAAUAAAGGAUAUUUUAAUUUUA